GACGAACGCUGGCGGCGUGCUUAACACAUGCAAGUCACGGGGGCCCGCAAGGGCAACCGGCGAACGGGUGCGUAACACGUGAGCAAGCUACCGAUUUGUGGGGAUAGCCGGCCCAACGGCCGGGUAAUACCGCAUACGUUCACCGAGCGGCAUCGCUUGGUGAGGAAACCUCCGGGGCAAAUCGAGGCGCUCGCGGCCUAUCAGCUAGUCAGCGGGGUAACGGCCCACCAAGGCAUCGACGGGUAGCUGGUCUGAGAGGAUGGCCAGCCACAUUGGGACUGCGACACGGCCCAGACUCCUACGGGGAGGCAGCAGUGGGGAAUAUUGCGCAAUGGACGAAAGGUCUGACGUAGCGACGCCGCGUGUGGGAUGAAGCCUUUCGGGGUGUAAAACCACUGUUGCCCGGGANGAAACUCCUUUUCGAGAGGAUGACGGUACCGGGUGAGGAAGCACCGGCUAACUCUGUGCCGGCAGCCGCGGUAAUACAGAGGGUGCGAGCGUUGUCCGGAAUCACUGGGCGUAAAGGGCGCGUAGGUGGCUUGGUAAGCGUGUGGUGAAGGUCCGGGGCUUAACCCGGCAUGUGCGCGCGAAACUGCUGAGCUCGAGCACUGUAGAGGCAGG
rnacentral:rRNA from 1 species